AUGAACGCUGCCUCACAGGUGAGGAUGAGGAUGAUGUAGCAGUCACAGGGGCAGGUGAUGAACUUUUCCUCACAGGUGAGGAUGAGGAUGAUGUAGCAGUCACAGGGGCAGGUGAUGAACUUUUCCUCACAGGUGAGGAUGAGGAUGAUGUAGCAGUCACAGGGGCAGGUGAUGAACUUUUCCUCACAGGUGAGGAUGAGGAUGAGGAUGAUGUAGCAGUAACAGGGGCAGAUGAUGAACGCUGCCUCACAGGUGAGGAUGAGGAUGAUGUAGCAGUCACAGGGGCAGAUGAUGAACUUUUCCUCACAGGUGAGGAUGAGGAUGAUGUAGCAGUCACAGGGGCAGGUGAUGAACGUUUCCUCACAGGUGAGGAUGAGGAUGAUGUAGCAGUCACAGGGGCAGGUGAUGAACUUUUCCUCACAGGUGAGGAUGAGGAUGAUGUAGCAGUCACAGGGGCAGGUGAUGAACGUUUCCUCACAGAUGAGGAUGAUGUAGCAGUAACAGGGGCAGGUGAUGAACUUUUCCUCACAGGUGAGGAUGAGGAUGAGGAUGAUGUAGCAGUCACAGGAGCAGGUGAUGAACGCUGCACAGAAGACCAAAGACACAAAAAAAAUACCACAGAUGUAAACAAAAAGUAAAUAUAAAUGCUUGCUUAAUUCAAAGUGCAUUGAUUUAGUUUAAGGGCAAGACAAAUGCAUUUGGAACAAAUAAUGUUUAAAA
ensembl:lncRNA